rnacentral:rRNA from 1 species
ACGAACGCUGGCGGCGUGCUUAACACAUGCAGGUCGAGCGGUAAGGCCUUUCGGGGUACACGAGCGGCGAACGGGUGAGUAACACGUGGGUGAUCUGCCCUGCACUCUGGGAUAAGCCUGGGAAACUGGGUCUAAUACCGGAUAUGACCGCAUGAUGCAUGUUGUGUGGUGGAAAGCUUUUGUGGUGCAGGAUGGGCCCGCGGCCUAUCAGCUUGUUGGUGGGGUAAUGGCCUACCAAGGCGACGACGGGUAGCCGACAUGGGAGGGUGACCGGCCACACUGGGACUGAGACACGGCCCAGACUGCUACGGGAGGCAGCAGUGGGGAAUAUUGCACAAUGGGCGGAAGCCUGAUGCAGCGACGCCGCGUGAGGGAUGAAGGCCUUCGGGUUGUAAACCUCUUUCAGCAGGGACGAAGCGUGAGUGACGGUACCUGCAGAAGAAGCACCGGCUAACUACGU